GAUGAACGCUGGCGGCGUGCCUAAUACAUGCAAGUCGAGCGAACAGAUGAGGAGCUUGCUCCUCUGACGUUAGCGGCGGACGGGUGAGUAACACGUGGAUAACCUACCUAUAAGACUGGGAUAACUUCGGGAAACCGGAGCUCAUACCGGAUAAUAUAUUGAACCGCAUGGUUCAAUAGUGAAAGACGGUUUUGCUGUCACUUAUAGAUGGAUCCGCGCCGCAUUAGCUAGUUGGUAAGGUAACGGCUUACCAAGGCAACGAUGCGUAGCCGACCUGAGAGGGUGAUCGGCCACACUGGAACUGAGACACGGUCCAGACUCCUACGGGAGGCAGCAGUAGGGAAUCUUCCGCAAUGGGCGAAAGCCUGACGGAGCAACGCCGCGUGAGUGAUGAAGGUCUUCGGAUCGUAAAACUCUGUUAUUAGGGAAGAACAAAUGUGUAAGUAGCUAUGCACGUCUUGACGGUACCUAAUCAGAAAGCCACGGCUAACUACGUG
rnacentral:rRNA from 1 species